rnacentral:rRNA from 1 species
GAUCCUGGCUCAGGAUGAACGCUAGCGGCAGGCUUAACACAUGCAAGUCGAGGGGCAGCGCGGGGCGGCAACGUCCUGGCGGCGACCGGCGGAAGGGUGCGUAACGCGUGAGCGACAUGCCCGUUGCCCGGGGACAACCGGUGGAAACGCCGACUAAUCCCCGAUGGGACGAGGCCCUCAGUGGGUCUCUGUUAGAAGUUACGGCGGCGACGGAUUGGCUCGCGUCGAUUAGCUAGUGGCGGGUACGCCACAG